rnacentral:lncRNA from 1 species
GCCAUGGUUGGUGAUGGCGUUGAAGUUUCAUCCCGUGGUGCUCGGUGGCAGUGGUGGCCUCGGCGGUGUGGUGAACUCUCUGGGUUCCUCAAGGCAGUGCUGCGGGGCUGCACCGCUCUGCGCCGGCAAUAGCGGUCUACGACGGCGUCACGGUGAGCUCUCGACACUCUGAUGCAUUGCCAAGAUUUAUGCCCCUGUAUUUCUCCUCCCGUCUCUCCCAAUCUAGAAUUCUACUUUCCCUAUGGAACUUAGGCGUAUUGACUUGCCAGAUGCGGCGGCUGCUAUGGUGCUAGGUCUUGGCCUUUCUCAGAUUCGGUGCAGGUUGUUGCAUCCGUACAUGAAGUUUUACUCGUUUCAAUUUGGCUGCACAAAUUUUAGUAUGGGCCUUCACCGGAUUUGAUGUUGAGGACAAAUCAAGAGCUUCUCUUUAGAUCUAGCCUACAGAUGCUCCCAGUCCUCCUACUAAGCUCCUAUUUUCAAUAAAUAGUUUACAUUCAGCAUUUUGUGUCUGAUGAAUCCUCCGUUUAGAGUCCCCAUAUGUUGCAUGUUCUAAUAAAUAGCCAUGUUUCUUCUUUAUUAUGAAUAAACUCAUCUUUUUUCCUUGGAGCUCCACUAUUUUGAAUGAAUUCGACUGUUCCCUGCUACUGAAAAGUACCAUGUCCGGCCAUUUAAACUUAGAAUCGAAUCGGGGUGCUGCUACUGUAUUAGGUUGACCAUCCAAUCAUUGUGAAUCUGCUCUGCUGCACAAGAAGGCAUGGUCAGAAACCGGGAAGGGUGGCACCCCAAUAAGAAGCACAAAUCAUUUAAGCCCGAGUAACCAUGAUCUCAAUGCACAAUAUCAUUGCCUUGCUGAUAGUUCAGUUAGUCGAAGCACUGCCACUGGGGCUGAUCAUACCUUGAAUUGAUCAAAAUUUGAACCUUUCGGUUACCUCAUAUUGCUAAAGGACACAAAUGUGACUUUUCUUAAACUUUAAUCGUCGUCAUAAAAUUAUGGAUUUUCACUUUGACCGGAAGUUGUUGAGGGUAUCUAUGGAAAGCUUCAGAACUUUUCUCUAGGUGCAUCCAGAACACUAGUGAGAUAUGGUAGCAACUACAAAAAAAAUUAGGAUGCAGGAUCACGUUUUCUAUUUCCAAUUCAUGGUACAUUCGUAGCUCUUUGUCAACUCUAUGAAAGCACUACAUACACCUGCAGUACACUAAAGUUUUUCAGGUUUGGUUAUCAUUUUUUUUACAUUGUGCUUCAGUCGAGUAAUGAAUGGUUAAGUACCUAUUUAUUGCUACUUUUGAUCUGUUGAUAGACACCGGACAGAACGAUAUAGCUGGGCAUGCUCCUAUUCUCUUUAUUCAGAACGACAUUGAAUGAACUUGAGGUUACACUAGCAUUUGUGUGACUAACAGCUACUCCUUGGAUGAUUACGUGUUUCAGAAUGAAGAUGCAUGAUUAUGUGCUUUAGAAUGAAGAUGCAUGAUUAUGUGUUUCAGGAGCUGCUAGUCGUACCAUAGAAGCAAUGAAUAAACCUCUUCUCGCUAUUUUCAUUUCAAGUGCAAUAAUCUGCUGGAGGUGUUUUCCAUUCAGACAAGUGAAGUUUUGCACCCUGCAAGUGUGCAGAUGUAUUCUGGAAGAAGAAAAGCAUACCCAGUAAGAUGCAAUCCUUGCCAUUUUACUGAGCAAGUUCAUUCAUAUUAUUUUUAGGUCCUCCUUGACAAUGUAUUUGAUCAAUUGUUAAAAAAAAUUCCUAGAUUGUGAGAGUAAAAUAAAGUACGUUCAGAAUACUAUUCUUGAUUCAGUAAAAACAGUCACCUAGUUUAACCCCAGCUAUUGUGUUAAAGAACAUACACUGACAAUAAGGAUUGAACUUCUCAUAAUGGUAAUGAUGAGUGUGCAAGGGCUAUUAAGGUCAUAUAGGUCUAAUUAAAAUUAUCACAGAAAGGAGAGGAGGAAACUGAGCUCCGCUCUUUUUCUAUCUGGGAGAGAAGUCUUUUUCUCCUUAAAACCUGCACUUUUUAUUGGUUUUAUAGGAAAAAAAAUCUCUGGCUCUAUUGAUUAUAGGUUGUUUAGUAGUGCACUACUAGUACCAUGCCAUACCAUUGGUUUGGACUGAUCAAAGGCAAAUUAAAGGUCAGUUAGAUAAAUGUCGCUACUGUACUCACACAUCUUAUAUGUAUUUUAGAUUUGUACACACUUCGUGAAAGUGUGACUUCUGUAGGCAAACUCUUCCAUCUGACGUUGUUCAACAGGUCGUAGAGAACAAAGUAUUCAGGCUUCGAUCAGAUGUCCAACACCUCCAGAACCUUGAUUGGUGUCUUUCAGAAAGAACCUUGAUUGGUUAUCGUACAUGCCUAAACUCUAUUCUGGAAAGUUGUACAUGUAAUCAUUAGUUCUAUGAGAGUAUGGAGAUUGAAUUUG